ACCAAAUAGUUCAUUUUGCGAUAAGUAAAAAGUAACAAACUAUUUAAUCAACUUAAUUACACGACGUACAAAUUUUAAAAUAACAACCUUUGUUUUUUCAUUGAUUACGUAUUACUAAAUCACUCAAUCAGAAUGAAUUAUAACAUCUUUAUAUUUAUCUUGGCAGUGAACGUAUCGAGUGAACACAAAAAGUAUGAUAAAGGGUAUACAAUUAAUUUUUUAAAUUCAUUUUUACAAGAAAAUAAAUGGAAAAUUACACCAGAGAUAUGGAUGUAUGACCAUGUUACAUCGUCAAUACAAAAAAUGUUAAUCAAAAUUUGAGAGUAACAAUGUUGCUUGUUAAUUACGAGUACACAAAAAGUUUAGCAUGGAUCGUGUAUCACGUAAAAAGUAUUGCUACUACUUGUUAUAUACAUGAAUUGUGUUGUAAUUCAGAAUAUUACGCCAAUUGUGAGAGUUUAUUAGAAUCAAGUAUUGAGAUUUCCAAAAAACUUAUUUCACGUUUUAUUAGUGCAAUAAAUUUUCUAAUGAACUUGUUAAAUAUUAAAACCAAUCCAUUUAUUUUAAACGAAUUGAUAAAACUUUUUGGGUUUAUAAGUGAAAUAAGUGAUGAUAAUUCAUAUGCAAAGCAAAUUUAUAAUUAUUUCAAUACCGAGUACGAUGAGAAUGAUUCUAAUUUGAUCAAAAUACUUCAAAAUUAUCACAUUGAUCGAACAUGCACUAAAAUAAAUAGUGAUGUGGACCACUUUCAGAGGUAUUUAGAGAAAAAUAAUUUACCUCAAACGUUUAAAAUGUAUGAAUUUAUAGGAGUUAACUUAAGAGAAGGUAUUCAAAAUAUGAAUAAAACAUUGUAUACUAAUCUGGGCUUCUUUUAUGACGAAGUAAAUAAUGAAACUUCUUAUGUUCAUGAAUGGCACAUUGAAAAAAAAAAAAAAAGUUCUUUAAUUUUUAACUGUUAAAUUGUUAAUUUAAAAAUUAUAAAAAAAACUUUUGUCUCUACGUGUAGAAUGCAAUUGUACUAUUAUUUGGUAAAAGUAUACAUGGUCUUCUUUUAGCUUGUAACAUAAUAAAAUUAUGAUUAGUAUAAGGUAUAAGGUAACAUUAUGUAAAAUUUUGUUUAAACUUUAUUUAUCAAGUUAAUAUUUGGUAUAUCUGCAAAUUUAUUCU